GACGAACGCUGGCGGCGUGCUUAACACAUGCAAGUUGAACGAAGCGGCGAACGGGUGAGUAAUACGUGGGUAACCUGCCCUCCUUUUUGGGCUAAGCCUUGGAAACGGGGUCUAAUACCGAAUAACGGGGGCUGGGCUCGCGGCCUAUCAGCUUGGUGGUGGGGUCAUGGCCUACCAAGGCGGUGCCGGGUAGCCGGCCUGAGAGGGUGACCAGCCACAUUGGGACUGAGAUACGGCCCAGAGUACUACGGGAGGCAGCAGUGGGGGAUAUUGCACAAUGGGCGAAAGCCUGAUGCAGCGACGGCGCGUGGGGGAUGAAGGCUUUCGAGUUGUAAACCUCUUUCGCUAACGAACGGGUAGGUGAAGAAGAAGCGCCGGCUAACUACGUGCCAGCAGCCGCGGUAAUAC
rnacentral:rRNA from 1 species